GACGGAGGAUGCAAGCGUUAAUCGGAAUUACUGGGCGUAAAGCGUGCGCAGGCGGUCGUACAAGACAGAUGUGAAAUCCCCGGGCUCAACCUGGGAACUGCAUUUGUGACUGUAUGACUGGAGUGCGGCAGAGGGGGAUGGAAUUCCGCGUGUAGCAGUGAAAUGCGUAGAUAUGCGGAGGAACACCGAUGGCGAAGGCAAUCCCCUGGACCUGUACUGACGCUCAUGCACGAAAGCGUGGGGAGCAAACAGG
rnacentral:rRNA from 1 species